UAGAUUGAAGCCCGCUGGUUUGGGUUUUUAGUUGUUAACUAAGAGUUUAUGGGAUCAAGGCCCGUCGGUCUAG
rnacentral:tRNA from 1 species